AGUAAGCUCUUUUGUCAGGGAAGAAACCCGGCUCUAACACAGUCCGGGAAUGACGGUACCUGAAGAAUAAGCACCGGCUAACUACGUGCCAGCAGCCGCGGUAAUACGUAGGGUGCGAGCGUUAAUCGGAAUUACUGGGCGUAAAGCGUGCGCAGGCGGUUGUACAAGACAGGCGUGAAAUCCCCGGGCUUAACCUGAGAAUGGCGCCUGUGACUGUACGGAUAGAGUGUGUCAGAGGGGGGUAGAAUUCCACGUGUAGCAGUGAAAUGCGUAGAUAUGUGGAGGAAUACCAAUGGCGAAGGCAGACCCCUGGGAUAACACUGACGCUCAUGCACGAAAGCGUGGGGAGCAAACAGGAUUAGAUACCCUGGUAGUCCAAGCCCUAAACGAUGCUGACUAGUUGUACGGGAUUUACAUACUGAGUAACGUAGCUAACGCGUGCAGUCAGCCGACUGAGGAGUACGGUCGCAAGAUUAAACUCAAAGGAAUUG
rnacentral:rRNA from 1 species